CCUACGGGUGGCAGCAGUGGGGGAUAUUGGACAAUGGGGGGAACCCUGAUCCAGCGACGCCGCGUGGGUGAAGAAGGGCCUCGGCGCGUAAAGCUCUGUUAGUAGGGAAGAAAAUGAAGGUACGUGAAGAAGAUGCCCCGGCCAACUACGUGCCAGAAGCCGCGGUAAUACGUAGGGGGCAAGCGUUAUCCGGAUUUACUGGGCGUAAAGGGGGCGCAGGCGGUGUUGUAGGCAUGGAGUGAAAGCCCGCGGCUCAACCCCGGGACUGCACUUGGAACUGCGGGGCUGGAGUGCAGGAGGGGGAGGCGGAAUUCCUGGUGUAGCGGUGAAAUGCGUAGAUAUCAGGAGGAACACCAGUGGCGAAGGCGGCCUGCUGGACUGCAACUGACGUUGAGGCCCGAAAGCGUGGGGAGCAAACAGGAUUAGAUACCCGUGUAGUC
rnacentral:rRNA from 1 species